rnacentral:rRNA from 1 species
UUCCUGGUUGAUCCUGCCGGAGGUCACUGCUAUUGGGAUUCGACUAAGCCAUGCGAGUCGAGAGGGUUCGGCCCUCGGCUGACGGCUCAGUAACACGUGGAUAAUCUGCCCUAAGGUGGAGGAUAAUCUCGGGAAACUGAGAAUAAUACUCCAUAGGCCUAGGAGGCUGGAAUACACUUAGGCUAAAAACUUCGGUGCCUUAGGAUGAGUCUGCGGACUAUCAGGUUGUAGUCAGGGUAAAGACCUGACUAGCCUACAACGGAUACGGGUUGUGAGAGCAAUAACCCGGAGAUGAUAUCUGAGACACGAUAUCAGGCCCUACGGGGCGCAGCAGGCGCGAAAACUUCGCACUGCGCGAAAGCGCGACGAGGGAAUCCCAAGUGUAUGCACGUUAGUGUAUACUGUUUCUUUGUUUAAAAAGCAGAGAGAGUAAGAGCUGGGUAAGACGGGUGCCAGCCGCCGCGGUAA